rnacentral:rRNA from 1 species
UGGGGAAUCUUGCACAAUGGGGGCAACCCUGAUGCAGCGACGCCGCGUGAGCGAUGAAGCCCUUCGGGGCGUAAAGCUCUUUCGACCGGAACGAUAAUGACGGUACCGGGAGAAGAAGCUGCGGCUAACUACGUGCCAGCAGCCGCGUUAAUACGUAGGCAGCAAGUGUUGUUCGGAGUUACUGGGCGUAAAGAGUGCGUAGGCGGUCUUCUAAGUUCGGUGUGAAAUCUCCCGGCCUAACUGGGAGGGUGCGCCGAAGACUGGGAAGCUGGAGUGUGGGAAAGGCAGGCGGAAUUCCUGGUGUAGCGGAGAAAUGCGUAGAUAUCAGGAGGAACACCGGCGGUGUAGACGGCUUGCUAGACCAUAACUGACGCUGAGGCACGAAAGCGUGGGUAGCAAACA